rnacentral:rRNA from 1 species
AUACGGAGGGUGCAAGCGUUAAGCGGAAUUACUGGGCGUAAAGCGUACGUAGGCGGUUAUUUAAGUCAGAUGUGAGAGCCCCGGGCUUAACUUGGGAACUGCAUUUGAAACUGGGUAACUAGAGUUUAGUAGAGGGGAGUGGAAUUUCAGGUGUAGCGGUGAAAUGCGUAGAGAUCUGAAGGAACACCAGUGGCGAAGGCGACUCCCUGGACUAAAACUGACGCUGCGGUACGAAAGCGUGGGUAGCAAACAGGAUUAGAAACCCCAGUAGUCC